CAAUGUAUAGCUUAACCCAAAGCACUUCGCUUACACCGAAACUAUGUUCGUGAAAAUCAAACUACCUUGA
rnacentral:tRNA from 1 species